AAAUAGACAUCAAAAAGGCUUGUAAACAAGGGUUGACCAACCAGUUUGUUCAUAAUGUCCUGAUGUCUUAAGUAACAAUCAAAUGAUUUUUUCAGACUACAGAUAAUCAAGCUUUCUUUGUUGUUACCUUAAGUUUUCAAUCAGGUGAACUAUCCCACAGUUAUUGUUUAUGAUGUGUUAAAAGCACACAUUUUAGACAGACUGUUCUAGUUUUAUUACUGCUUUGUAUGAUCUGCCAUGUACUGUUUGUGGGGAGGCCGAUACCACUAUCCAAUUAAUCAAUCAAUUAAUUAUCCAGUUAUUUCUAUUUUUAAUAUCCAAGGACAAUCCUGCACCUUAUGUUACAACAUAUAACAUUAUCUAUUAAUUUGCAGGACAAUGCACUAUAAUUACACUUUGUAUAUUCAUUAGAGUGAAAGAUAACUGUCCUGCUUUUAGGCUCUAUUCUUAGCUUUUAUUUUAUUCUGUUUCCUACUCUAUAUUACUUGGCUUUUGUUUUUUUAAAUUGUAUUUUGCUUCUGCUUAAACACUGCGAAAUUCCCCUUUUGGGAUUAAUAAGGUACUCUAUCUAACUAUAUGCAAUUUGCCAGUUGCAUUAACUAAAACACAUUAUAUUACUGAAAAUAUUUAGCCAAUAUCAAUAAUACCUUUUACAGCAAGUUUACAGCUAUCUAUAACAGUUACACUAAUAUAUUUAUAUAACAUUUUAAAUUUGCCAUCAUUAUUUUAUAACUUAGCUCUGCUUAGAUUAAUGUUUGACAACUGCAAGUAAACUGGGUUAUUGUCAUAGAAAUGUUAAAAUUAUUAAUAAAAAGGUCCUAAAGACUUUAUAAGGGCUGUUAAUAGGUCCUGGUGGAAUAUUUAGUUAUUGCCUUUAACCUUAAUCCAUAAGCAUACUAUCUAGCAAUAUCAUUUAACUGUGUUUUAGCGUGAACUAGCUACAACUUAACAUUUUUGUCUUUGUUUGUCCCUCAUUAAAUCUGACAGGGGCUGACCUGCAGUUUGGCUUUUAAACUUUCCAAUUCUAAGUUAAUGUUAGUUCACAAAGUUUUUAUCAGUUAGUUAGCUUCUGUCGGGAUAAAUGCAUCAAUUCACAGUAAAGUCGACGAAUUUAAACAGACCACAAGCUAACCUACAGCUAACGCUAGGCACGAUGUUAUGUCUGUGGUACAGGCUGUCAACAAACAACAUGAGCAUGCCGGCUAACGGUUAGCUGAGGCAGAACGACGGCGAGGCUAAAGCUAAAGCAGCUAGCAAGCUAAUAUCUGUGUGCAGUACAGUGUCGUGUCAAACGCAGCUCGGUAAUUUUCAUCUUACCGGAGGGGCAGCAGAACUCAUGCCGUCGUUUCAAGGUUAAGGUGCAACUCCUGGUGUCAGUAGCGGCCUGCCACCAGUAGGGGUCGCUCUGACUCAUUGCACUGACUGAUUGGCAACUCAACGGUAUGAAAACUUUACUGGACACGAAAAAUAAGUUCAUGGUCAUCAUAACGGAACGACGCCCUACCUCAAAAAUAUGAAUCAUCUUUCACGCAGGCGCAGCAAUUUCUGUCUGGAUAAAAUGGCGACAAGCUGCCAGAAAUUAAAGAGUAAAACCGGAAGUUGAUUAUUGUUGCCUUCAAAAUAAACGCACAAAAUAGCGUGUCAAUACUUGUGUCAUGCUGU